rnacentral:rRNA from 1 species
CAGCAGCCGCGGUAAUACAGAGGUCUCAAGCGUUGUUCGGAUUCAUUGGGCGUAAAGGGUGCGUAGGUGGCUUGGUAAGUUGAAGGUGAAAUCUCGGGGCUUAACUCCGAAACUGCCUUCAAUACUGCUGAGCUCGAGGAUUGUAGAGGAGAAUGGAAUUCACGGUGUAGCAGUGAAAUGCGUAGAUAUCGUGAGGAAGACCAGUGGCGAACGCGAUUCUCUGGGCAAUUCCUGACACUGAGGCACGAAGGCCAGGGGAGCAAACGGGAUUAGAUACCCCCGUAGUCCCUGUCUCUUAUAC